rnacentral:misc_RNA from 1 species
AAGAGACGUUGCCCUUCGGGGUAUACCUCCCACCCUUUGUUUAUCAUACCUUUGUUGCUUUGGCGGGCCCGUCCUCGGACCACCGGCUUCUGCUGGUCAGUGCCCGCCAGAGGACCUAAAACUCUGUUUGUUAAUAUUGUCUGAGUACUAUAUAAUAGUUA